rnacentral:rRNA from 1 species
GACGAACGCUGGCGGCGUGCUUAACACAUGCAAGUCGAACGGUGAUCCACUUUCGGGUGGUGAUCAGUGGCGAACGGGUGAGUAACACGUGAGCAACCUGCCCCUGGCUCUGGGACAACCACUGGAAACGGUGGCUAAUACCGGAUACGACCCGCCAUCGCAUGGUGUGUGGGUGGAAAGUUUUUCGGCUGGGGAUGGGCUCGCGGCCUAUCAGCUUGUUGGUGGGGUGAUGGCCUACCAAGGCGACGACGGGUAGCCGGCCUGAGAGGGCGUCCGGCCACACUGGGACGGAGACACGGCCCAGACUCCUACGGGAGGCAGCAGUGGGGAAUAUUGCACAAUGGGCGAAAGCCUGAUGCAGCGACGCCGCGUGAGGGAUGACGGCCUUCGGGUUGUAAACCUCUUUCAGCUCCGAAGAAGCGCAAGUGACGGUAGGAGCAGAAGAAGCACCGGCUAACUACGUGCCAGCCGCCGCGGUAAGAC